rnacentral:rRNA from 1 species
GAUCCUGGCUCAGGAUGAACGCUGGCGGCGUGCCUAACACAUGCAAGUCGAACGAAGCACCUUACCUGAUUCUUCGGAUGAAAGUUUGGUGACUGAGUGGCGGACGGGUGAGUAACGCGUGGGUAACCUGCCCUGUACAGGGGGAUAACAGCUGGAAACGGCUGCUAAUACCGCAUAAGCGCACGAGGAGACAUCUCCUUGUGUGAAAAACUCCGGUGGUACAGGAUGGGCCCGCGU